rnacentral:rRNA from 1 species
ACGGGGUAGGAUCAUCUCGGUGACGUACCCUCCGGACGGGGAUAGCCACGGGAAACUGUGGGUAAUACCCGAUGACCUGGCAGGCGAUUAGGGCUUGUCAGCAAAGGUGAGAUUCCACCGGAGGAGCGGCUGAGACGCUAUUAGCUUGUUGGUGAGGUAAUGGCUUACCAAGGCGACGAUGGCUAGGGGGUGUGAGAGCAUGGCCCCCACCACUGGCACUGAGACACUGGCCAGACACCUACGGGUGGCUGCAGUCGAGAAUCUUCGGCAAUGGGCGCAAGCCUGACCGAGCGACGCCGCGUGCGGGAUGAAGGUCUUCGGAUUGUAAACCGCUGUCGGAGGGGAUGAAGUGUAUGGGAGCUAUCUCCUGUAUUUGACAGAGCCUCGGAGGAAGCACGGGCUAAGUUCGUGCCAGCAGCCGCGGUAAUACGAACUGUGCAAACGUUAUUCGGAAUCACUGGGCUUAAAGGGUGCGUAGGCGGUCGCACAAGUCAGGUGUGAAAUCCCCCGGCUCAACCGGGGAAUAGCGCUUGAAACUAGGUGACUUGAGUGAGGUAAGGGUACGCGGAACUUCUGGUGGAGCGGUG